AUGGCCGAAAAUCUAAGGUUUCUUGGGGAAGGUUCGUCCGCCCAAGGUUAGUCGGGAGCUAAGCUCAGGCCGAAAGGCGUAGGCGAUGCACAUACGGUAGAAAUUCCGUAACCACCGAACAUUUAAGCUAGAGGGACGCUUUCUUUAAGGUUAUCCCGGGCGAUGGUUGCCCCGGGCGUAAGGGACCGAAAUAUAUAGGGAAGUAACUGGCGAGAGAGACGAGAAAAGCUCUAGUGUAUACUAAGGUGCCCGUACCGCAAACCGACACAGGUAGAUGGGAUGAGUAUUCUAAGGCCAACGGGAGAAGGGUUGUUAAGGAACUCGGCAAAUUGGCCCCGUAACUUCGGGAUAAGGGGCGCCUGCGAGAGCAGGCCGCAGUGAAAAGGCCCAAGCGACUGUUUAGCAAAAACACAGCUCUCUGCUAAAUCGAAAGAUGACGUAUAGGGGGUGACGCCUGCCCGGUGCUGGAAGGUUAAGGGGAGUGCUUAGCGCAAGCGAAGGUGCGAACUUAAGCCCCAGUAAACGGCGGCCGUAACGAUAACGGUCCUAAGGUAGCGAAAUUCCUUGUCAGGUAAGUUCUGACCCGCACGAAUGGCGUAACGAUUUGGGCACUGUCUCAACAGCCCGCCCGGCGAAAUUGUAGUACCGGUGAAGAUGCCGGUUUCCCGCAACUAGACGGAAAGACCCCAUGGAGCUUCACUGUAGCUUGAUAUUGGAUCUCGGUAUUCCAUGUACAGGAUAGGUGGGAGGCUAGGAAGUAAGCGCGCCAGCGUCUAUGGAGCCAACCUUGGGAUACCACUCUUGGGAUAUUGGGAUUCUAACCUGCGACCAUGAAUCUGGUCGGGGGACACUGUCAGGUGGGCAGUUUGACUGGGGCGGUCGCCUCCAAAAGAGUAACGGAGGCGCUCAAAGGUUCGUUCAGCACGGAUGGAAAUCGUGCACUGAGUGUAAACGCAUAAACGAGCCUAACUGCGAGAAUGACGGUUCGAGCAGUAACGAAAGUUGGAGUUAGUGAUCCGGCGGUAUGUGAAUGGAAAUGCCGUCGCUCAACGGAUAAAAGCUACCCUGGGGAUAACAGGCUGAUCUCCCCCAAGAGCCCACAUCGACGGGGAGGUUUGGCACCUCGAUGUCGGCUCAUCGCAUCCUGGGGCUGAAUUCGGUCCCAAGGGUUUGGCUGUUCGCCAAUUAAAGCGGUACGCGAGCUGGGUUCAGAACGUCGUGAGACAGUUCGGUCCCUAUCUGUUGCGGGCGCAGGAAUAUUGAGAGGAGCUGUCCUUAGUACGAGAGGACCGGGAUGGACGUACCGCUGGUGCACCAGUUGUUCUGCCAAGGGCAUAGCUGGGUAGCUAAGUACGGACGAGAUAAACGCUGAAGGCAUCUAAGCGUGAAACUCCCCUCGAGAUAAGUGUUCCCAUCCUUCGGGAGUAUGGCCCCUUGUAGACUACAAGGUUGAUAGGCCAGGAGUGGAAGUGCAGUAAUGUAUGGAGCGGACUGAUACUAAUAGGCCGAGGGCUUGUC
rnacentral:rRNA from 1 species